CUGAGGCCUGCACAAGCGAGACAAGAUGGCUGGUGUGCCCAUAGACCGGACACUUAUUCAGUCCGUGCAGGACUGUCAAAGCAUGCUGGGGAGACCUUAGCAGGGCUAGAGGAAAUAUUAUCUCGAUUCUGGGACACCCUGGAAAAGCGUGCCGAGCUAUCUACUCCACAAAUUGACACUCAGAAGAACGACAACCGGAAGGUGAGCGAAGCCCCUUCGGGCAGAACAACCAUACAGCCACCCAUGUCCACCAGUGCUCGUCCACAU